rnacentral:misc_RNA from 1 species
CCGAGUGAGGGCCCUCUGGGUCCAACCUCCCACCCGUGUUUAUCGUACCUUGUUGCUUCGGCGGGCCCGCCUCACGGCCGCCGGGGGGCAUCCGCCCCCGGGCCCGCGCCCGCCGAAGACACCAUUGAACUCUUGUCUGAAGAUUGCAGUCUGAGCGAUUAGCUAAAUCAGUUA